UCGCCCCUCCCCCAACCAAUCUUGCCCACACCGCAGAUGCAUCCUCUGCCCCCAAACGAUGGCGACAAGGACGCCGGCAACCCGCGUCUCCUUCCACCUCCCCCAGCUCGUCUUCUCACCGGCCGCUUUGGAGGAGCCUCCUUUUGUGCGCCAUCGUGGCCGGGCUGCGGUGACCACUAGAGGUCCGCCGCCGGCAGGAGGUCCCUCCUUCUCCACUACGAGGCACCAGCAGAGGAGGACUCCUCCUCCUUCCAUCCCUAGCCAUGGCAUCCAACCUCUAACGCCGCUUGAAACCCUAUCCCGAAUCCGGCAGAGGUGCAGCAGCACGGGAUCCCCUCCAAAAGCAGUUGCAGGAAGGGGCGGGCCAUGGAGAAGCUGCUAGGUGUGGGCCUGAAGCCAUGGAUGGAUAGCGUACGGCGAGGAGGCACUGAACAGAGCGGCGGGCAAGGACGAUGUGAAGCUGCGCGCACCAUCGUCGUAUCCCUCCUCCACCUGCUGUUACUAGAAGCAAGUGCAGUACCAUCUCAUCUCAUCCACGAGAGCUAUUUUUGGCUUACAUGAAGGGAUGCAUGCUCUUCAUCUUGCAGGCACCUGAGCUAUUUACACAAGGAGGGGACCCAGCCUUCUUCACGGCUCGCGAUAGUGUCUCCCAUUUAUUCGUUCGUGCGACAAGGAGGGGACUCGCCCUUCUUCAUGUCUCGUGCAACAAGGACCAGCCUCUGGCUAUACUAUUGAUUCGUGUGCAUGUGCUAAAGAGUAAGAAAAUACCCUACUGGAUUUGGACGCUGACAAGCAUUAACAAGUUUUCACUUUCCCGACGUGGCCACAGGGGUGAUCGACGCGGACUACCGCUGCCUUGUGGGCGUCGUGCUCUUCAACCACUCGGAGGUGGACUUCACCGUGAAGCCCGACGACCGCGUCGCACAGAUGAUCGUCCAGGUGAUCGUGACGCCGGAGGUCGCCGAGGUGGAGGACCUUGAUACCAUCAUUUGGGGGGAGAAAGGAUUGGGGUCCACCAGCAUCUGAACUCCGAGCCUUGGUAGAUACAUCUAGAGAAGUGGUAUGUUUAGGCUGCUGGUGGAACACUAGGAAAGGUACCCACCUUCGGUUGUGUGCGUUUAUUGUUAAAUGGAAU